GCGGGCGUGGCGGAAUUGGUAGACGCGCUAGACUUAGGAUCUAGAGCCGAAAGGCGUGGGGGUUCGAGUCCCUUCGUCCGCA
rnacentral:tRNA from 1 species